rnacentral:lncRNA from 1 species
UUUAUUAUAUUAUGUCGGUGUUAGUGCCAUGUUUCAGGUACUUGUCGAUGCAAAACUCACGUGUGAGAAAGAAGUAAAGAAAAGAGAAGAAAUGAAGAAAAGAAGAAAAGCGCUGAAAAUGCAAUUUCUGGGCUUGUGGCGUUCUCCAUGACCCCUUUCCAUGACACUCCAGACUUUUAGUACCAUGGCGUUCGCCACAGGCAUGUAGUGAUGUUUUUCAACAACUGCACAGAACAUGGUCAAAACUCACUC